rnacentral:tRNA from 1 species
GCCUAGCUGGCUCGUUGGUAGAGCAUGUGACUUUCACUCUCAGGACUGUGAGUUCAAGCCUCACAUUGGGCA